UCACAGCAGCAUACCACCCUGAUCUUGUCUGAUCUCGUAAGCUAAGCAGGGUUGGGCCUGGUUAGUAUUUGAAUGGGAGUCCUGUGAC
rnacentral:rRNA from 1 species